CAGCCCCUCGAGUGGUGGGGAUGAUUAUUUGGCCUAAAGCGUCCGUAGCCGGCCCUGUAAGUCCCCCGUUAAAUCCAGCGUCUCAAGCGUUGGACCGCGGGAGAUACUGCAAGGCUAGAGGGUGGGAGAGGUAAGCGGUAUUCUGGGGGUAGGGGCGAAAUCCUUUGAUCCCCGGAGGACCACCAGUGGCGAAGGCUGCUUACUUGAACACGCCUGACGGUCAGGGACGAAAGCUGGGGUAGCGAACCGGAUUAGAUACCCGAGUAGUCC
rnacentral:rRNA from 1 species